AACAAACGCUGGUGGCGUGCCUAAUACAUGCAAGUCGAACGGGGAAAGCUUUCGGGUGAGUACUAGUGGCGCACGGGUGAGGAACGCGUGGAUAAUCUGCCUUAGAGUGGGGGAUAACUAGUCGAAAGAUUAGCUAAUACCGCAUAAGACCACAGGAGCUGCGGCUCAAGGGGUCAAAGGUUUUUCGCUCUAAGAUGAGUCCGCGUAAGAUUAGCUAGUUGGUGAGGUAACGGCUCACCAAGGCGACGAUCUUUAACUGGUCUGAGAGGAUGAUCAGUCACACUGGAACUGAGACACGGUCCAGACUCCUACGGGAGGCAGCAGUAGGGAAUAUUGCACAAUGGAGGAAACUCUGAUGCAGCGACGCCGCGUGAGUGAUGAAGGCCUUCGGGUCGUAAAGCUCUGUCGCAGGGGAAUAACACAAUGAAGGUACCCUGUAAGAAAGGAUCGGCUAACUUCGUGCCAGCAGCCGCCGCAGUAA
rnacentral:rRNA from 1 species